CUUCGAUUUUACCCCAAAAAAUCCAAAUUUUGGGGGUUUAAAGUCCGUUUUUUUCACCUUAAAAACGACAAUUUUGGGGUUUCCGGGUCCAUUUUCUGCCCCAAAAAUCCAAAUUUUGGGGUUUUUUGAGUCCCGUUUUUCACCCAAAAAAUGAAAUUUUUGGGCCAUUUUCGAGUCCGUUUUUUGGCAGAUUUUGGGGUCUCCGGCUCCGUUUUUCACCCAAAAAAUGAAAUUUUUGGGCCUUUUUGAGUCCAUUUUUUUCCCCAUUUUUUGCAGAUUUUGGGUCAUUUUUUGAGUCCAUUUUUCACCCAAAAAAUGAAAAUUUUGGGCCUUUUCUGAGUCCAUUUUUUUUUCCCAUUUCUUGCGGAUUUUGGGCCUUUUUUGAGUCCAUUUUUUGCCCCAAUUUGUGGCGAUUUUGGGGUUUUUUGAGUCCAUUUUUUUGCCCAUUUUUUUGCAGAUUUUGGGGCUUCUUCUCCAUUUUUGACGAUUUUGGGGUUUCUGGUUCCGUUUUUUCCCCAAUUUUGGGGUUUUUGAGUCCAUUUUUCCCCAAUUUUCUGCAGAUUUUGGGUUUUUUCCUCCGUUUUUUGCAGUUUUUGGGGUUUCUGAGUCCAUUUUCCCCCAAUUUUGGGGUUUUUUGGGUCCAUUUUUUGCAGUUUUUGGGGUUUCUGAGUCCAUUUUUUUCCCCGAUUUUGGGGUUUUUUUUCUCUGUUUUUCCCCAUUUUGACGAUUUGGGGUUUCCGAGUCCAGUUUUUUCCCCGAGUUUUUCCCCCAAUUUUGGGGUUUUUGGGUCCGUUUUUUGCAGUUUUUGGGGUUUCUGGUUCCGUUUUGGCCCCGAUUUUGGGGUUUUUUGGGGCAUUUCUGCCUUCGGGGGGUGCCCGGCGGUUCCGGAAGGUUCCGAGGCCGGGGGGGGUUCCGGAAGGUUCCGCUGGGUGCCC
rnacentral:lncRNA from 1 species